CUUGAAGAACCAYCGUUGUUAUUCAACUACAAAAACA
rnacentral:tRNA from 1 species